CCUACGGGCGGCAGCAGUGAGGAAUAUUGGUCAAUGGACGAGAGUCUGAACCAGCCAAGUAGCGUGAAGGAUGACUGCCCUAUGGGUUGUAAACUUCUUUUAUAUGGGAAUAACAUGUUCCACGUGUGGGAUUUUGUAUGUACCCUCUGAAUAAGGAUCGGCUAACUCCGUGCCAGCAGCCGCGGUAAUACGGAGGAUCCGAGCGUUAUCCGGAUUUAUUGGGUUUAAAGGGUGCGUAGGUGGAUUGUUAAGUCAGUUGUGAAAGUUUGCGGCGCAACCGUAAAAUUGCAGUUGAAACUGGUAGUCUUGAGUACAGUAGAGGUGGGCGGAAUGCGUGGUGUAGCGGUGAAAUGCUUAGAUAUCACGAAGAACUCCGAUUGCGAAGGCAGGUCACUGGACUGCAACUGACACUGAGGCUCGAAAGUGUGGGUAUCAAACAGGAUUAGAUACCCCGGUAGUC
rnacentral:rRNA from 1 species